CGCGGGAAAAUCAGCUUUCAAAAGGACUAAGGAGAGUUUCGAGGAGUGAAAAAAAUUCUGCCAAAAGUUUGUUUUCGAGCAAAAAUUUGCAAGAAAAACACUUUUCCCAUGGGAAUACAACAAUGAUUGGGAUUUAAACCAGGUUUUCCGAUUAGUUCCAACUGUUUUACAUCUCUCUGCAGCAAAAAGUAAGGAGUUUUGCUUUUGUAUUUUGAAAAAAUGACGAAAGUUUGGACGUGCCGAAGGAAACCUCGCCGUUCAACUAAAAAAUAUAUACUAUAAAACAUUUUGACAGU
rnacentral:lncRNA from 1 species